rnacentral:rRNA from 1 species
GACAGAGGGUGCAAACGUUGUUCGGAAUUACUGGGCGUAAAGCGUGUGUAGGCGGUCUGCUAAGUCGGGUGUGAAAGCCCUGGGCUCAACCCAGGAAGUGCACUCGAAACUGGCAGGCUAGAGUACUGGAGAGGUUGGUGGAAUUCUCGGUGUAGAGGUGAAAUUCGUAGAUAUCGAGAAGAACACCGGUGGCGAAGGCGGCCAUCUGGACGGUGACUGACGCUGAGACGCGAAAGCGUGGGGAGCAAACAGGA